GCAUAUCAAUAAGCGGAGGAAAAGAAACCAACAGGGAUUGCCUCAGUAACGGCGAGUGAAGCGGCAACAGCUCAAAUUUGAAAUCUGGCCUCUUUGGGGUCCGAGUUGUAAUUUGUAGAGGAUGUUUCGGGUACCGCCUCGGUUUAAAUUUCUUGGAACAGAAUGUCAGAGAGGGUGAGAAUCCCGUCUUGGACCGGCGGUAGGGCCCAUGUGAAACUCCUUCGACGAGUCGAGUUGUUUGGGAAUGCAGCUCAAAAUGGGUGGUAAAUUUCAUCUAAAGCUAAAUAUUGGCCAGAGACCGAUAGCGCACAAGUAGAGUGAUCGAAAGAUGAAAAGCACUUUGAAAAGAGAGUUAAACAGUAUGUGAAAUUGUUGAAAGGGAAGCGCUUACAACCAGACUUGCGCGCGGCGGUUCCCCCUUCCUUUUGGUUGGGCUACUCCGUCGUGUCCAGGCCAACAUCGGUUCUGGGGGUCGGUUAAAGACCUUGGGAAUGUACCUACCCUUCGGGCGUAGACUUAUAGCCCAGGGUGUCAUGCGACCUCCCGGGACCGAGGAACGCGCUUCGGCUCGGAUGUUGGCGUAAUGGUUGUCAGCGACCCGUCUUGAAACACGGACC
rnacentral:rRNA from 1 species